rfam:Poecilia formosa, whole genome shotgun sequence.
GCUGUGAUGGCAGAGCGGUUAAGGUGUUGGAUUUGAACUCUAAUGAGGUUUUCUUGCACAGGUUCAAACCCUGCUCACAGCA